rnacentral:rRNA from 1 species
UACGGAGGGGGCUAGCGUUGCUCGGAAUUACUGGGCGUAAAGGGAGCGUAGGCGGAUAGUUUAGUCAGAGGUGAAAGCCCAGGGCUCAACCCUGGAAUUGCCUUUGAUACUGGCUAUCUUGAGUGUGGGAGAGGUUAGCGGAACUCCGAGUGUAGAGGUGAAAUUCGUAGAUAUUCGGAAGAACACCAGUGGCGAAGGCGGCUAACUGGCCCAUUACUGACGCUGAGGCUCGAAAGCGUGGGGAGCAAACAGG